GACGAAAACUCAACAGCUCCUGUGGAAUGUUUCCCCGAGUAGCAGCGGGCCCGUGGAAUCUGCUGUGAAUCUGCCGGGACCACCCGGUAAGCCUGAAUACUUCCCAGUGACCGAUAGCGGAUUAGUAACGUGAGGGAAUGGUGAAAAGUACCCCGGGAGGGGAGUGAAAUAGUACCUGAAACCGUGCGCUUACAAUCCGUCAGAGCCUUCGUGUUAAAGCGUGGGGUGAUGGCGUGCCUUUUGAAGAAUGAGCCU
rnacentral:rRNA from 1 species